GAUAGGGGAGCCCAAGCGGCUGAGAGGCGAGAUUGCUCGCGACCCUAGGACCUGAACUAGGUAAUGCUAGCGGAGGGAAUCGGUACUC
rnacentral:ncRNA from 1 species